AUUGAACGCUGGCGGCAGGCUUAACACAUGCAAGUCGAGCGGAGUGAUGGUGCUUGCACUAUCACUUAGCGGCGGACGGGUGAGUAAUGCUUAGGAAUCUGCCAUUUAGUGGGGGACAACAUUCCGAAAGGAAUGCUAAUACCGCAUACGUCCUACGGGAGAAAGCAGGGGAUCUUCGGACCUUGCGCUAAAUGAUGAGCCUAAGUCGGAUUAGCUAGUUGGUGGGGUAAAGGCCUACGAAGGCGACGAUCUGUAGCGGGUGUGAGAGGAUGAUCCGCCACACUGGGACUGAGACACGGCCCAGACUCCUACGGGAGGCAGCGGUGGGGAAUAUUGGACAAUGGGCGGAAGCCUGAUCCAGCCAUGCCGCGUGUGUGAAGAAGGCCUUUUGGUUGUAAAGCACUUUAAGCGAGGAGGAGGCUACUAGUACCAAUACUACUGGAUAGUGGACGUUACUCGCAGAAUAAGCACCGGCUAACUCUGUGCCAGCAGCCGCGGUAAAAC
rnacentral:rRNA from 1 species